GACGAACGCUGGCGCCGUGUCUAAUACAUGCAAGUCGAGCGAGCUUGCCUAGAUGAUUUUAGUGCUUGCACUAAAUGAAACUAGAUACAAGCGAGCGGCGGACGGGUGAGUAACACGUGGGUAACCUGCCCAAGAGACUGGGAUAACACCUGGAAACAGAUGCUAAUACCGGAUAACAACACUAGACGCAUGUCUAGAGUUUGAAAGAUGGUUCUGCUAUCACUCUUGGAUGGACCUGCGGUGCAUUAGCUAGUUGGUAAGGUAACGGCUUACCAAGGCAAUGAUGCAUAGCCGAGUUGAGAGACUGAUCGGCCACAUUGGGACUGAGACACGGCCCAAACUCCUACGGGAGGCAGCAGUAGGGAAUCUUCCACAAUGGACGAAAGUCUGAUGGAGCAACGCCGCGUGAGUGAAGAAGGGUUUCGGCUCGUAAAGCUCUGUUGGUAGUGAAGAAAGAUAGAGGUAGUAACUGGCCUUUAUUUGACGGUAAUUACUUAGAAAGUCACGGCUAACUACGUGCCAGCAGCCGCGGUAAUACGUAGGUGGCAAGCGUUGUCCGGAUUUAUUGGGCGUAAAGCGAGUGCAGGCGGUUCAAUAAGUCUGAUGUGAAAGCCUUCGGCUCAACCGGAGAAUUGCAUCAGAAACUGUUGAACUUGAGUGCAGAAGAGGAGAGUGGAACUCCAUGUGUAGCGGUGGAAUGCGUAGAUAUAUGGAAGAACACCAGUGGCGAAGGCGGCUCUCUGGUCUGCAACUGACGCUGAGGCUCGAAAGCAUGGGUAGCGAACAGG
rnacentral:rRNA from 1 species